CGGACGUCGCGCGCCACGCGGCGGCGGCGGCCGGAUCGUCGACGGCGGCAAACACGCGCGACCACAGUUCGGCCGGAAGGCGUGCCUGUAGCGGCAGCGUGCGCAGGUCGUCGGCUGUGUCGCAGCACCGAGCGCGCUUGGCCGGACGGUCCCAUGUCUCUUUUGCGCCCCCGUCCGUCAUCGAGCAAGCGUCAACCGAGAAAAAAUGGUGUUUGUCUUCUUGGCGAGAUCGUUGCGAUCUUUGGGAUC
rnacentral:lncRNA from 1 species